UACACUACAUAGAUGGACUCCAGGCGAGCUGAGAUCUUCUAUUUUUGUUUACGGAAAUAUUAUCGGUACAAAUAAUUUUAAAGUAUUUUAAAGUGGAAUUUACAAAUCAAGAUAGUAUGUAUAUCAUAGUAUAUUUAGGUAUUAUUAGAAAAUCUGGUACCUGUUUGCGGAAUUUAAAAACGGACAUAACUGCAUCGUGCGAUACCAUUAUUCCAGGCGGCUUAUUCGAGUCAGUCCAGCUGCACACAACAUGAAUGGCGCUAAAGAGUAUUUCUAAACGGCCCUCCACUCAGCUUUAAUGAGUUGGUUUCAUCCAUUAAGCUGUUUAGUAAUUAGGCGCUAGGGGGAACGCGAAUGGACCAUAGCAGGUGACGACUUUCCAAGGACUAUUUACGUAGAAGCCAGGAGGAAAAAAUUGAAACGGAUGGACUAUGCUUUUCAAACUUUAGGCAUUAAAAUAUCCAGUACAUUACCGUGUUGGCCAAUUAAGUGAAAAUUCCCAACGAAUGGACCGCAAUGAACAAAACAGAGGCUGAACUUUUAGGAUUUACAACAUACUAAUGUCCUACACGAAAAAUUUAUGCUGUAUAAUGUGUU